GCUGUGAUGGCCGAGAGGUGAAGGCGUUGGACUCGAAAUCCCAAGUAGGGAUUCCCUGAGCACGUUCGAAUCCUGCUCUCAGCG